AGGGGUAGUUUUUAAUACGUAGAAAUCGUAUUUGCUGCUACUAAGGACCAGCAGUAUCUUUUGAAGAUUUUCUAAUUCCU
rfam:Glossina austeni unplaced genomic scaffold Scaffold275, whole genome shotgun sequence.